rnacentral:rRNA from 1 species
GACGAACGCUGGCGGCGUGCUUAACACAUGCAAGUCGAACGGAAAGGCCCUGCUUGUUUGUGGUUCUCGAGUGGCGAACGGGUGAGUAACACGGGAGUAUCCUGCCCUGGGCGGUGUGAUGACAGCAAGAAACUGCUGCUAAUACCGGAGAGGAGCGCCUGCUGGAGGGGGGGGGUUGGACAUUUUGGGCGGUGGGGGGUGGACGCGCGGCUUAUCAGCUUGUUGGGUGGGGAGUGGCUUACCAAGGCUUUGAAGGGUAGCCGGCAUGAGAGGGUGAACGGCCACAUUGGGACUGAGAGACGGCGCAGACUCCUACGGGAGGCAGCAGUGGGGAAUAUUGCCCAAUGGGCGGAAGCCUGAUGAAGCAACGCCGCGUGCGGGAUGACGGUCUUCGGGUUGUAAACCGCUUUCGCCUGUGACGAAGCGUGAGUGACGGUAAUGGGUAAAGAAGCACCGGCUAACUACGUG